rnacentral:rRNA from 1 species
AAUAUUGGACAAUGGGGGCAACCCUGAUCCAGCCAUGCCGCGUGUGUGAAGAAGGUCUUCGGAUUGUAAAGCACUUUAAGUUGGGAGGAAGGGCAGUAAGUUAAUACCUUGCUGUUUUGACGUUACCGACAGAAUAAGCACCGGCUAACUUCGUGCCAGCAGCCGCGGUAAUACGAAGGGUGCAAGCGUUAAUCGGAAUUACUGGCGUAAACGGCGCGGAAGUGGGUUGUUAAAUUGGAAGUGAAAGCCCCGGGCUCAAACUGGGAACUGCUUUCAAAACUGGCAAGCUAGAGUAUGGGAGAGGGUAGUGGAAUUUCCUGUGUAGCGGUGAAAUGCGUGGAUAUAGGAAGGAACACCAGUGGCGAAGGCGACCACCUGGGCUAAUACUGACGCUCAGACACGAAAGCGUGGGGAGCAAAC